CCCUGCCACCCAGGGCUGAAACCCUCAGGCUUUGGCUUCAGCCUGGGGUACCAGCAAGUCUAAUGCCAGACCUGGCGACCCCAUUAAAACAGGGCCGAGACCCACUUUGGGGUCCCGACCCACACUUUGAGAACCGCUGAAACAGAUUGAACUUCAAGUCUCUCACUGGAAUGCAUUUUGUCCAGACUUCAGAUCAGGUUUGCGGCUCUUUUCUGCCCUGUUUCCAGUUUUUCAACAUCCUGUUUAACGUGCAAACACCAGAACUGUAUUUGCUAUCUCAGGCCUGGUCUACACUGCCACUUAAGUCAAGGCUGAUGUAAUCCACGUGCCUUCCACUGCAGCCUCUGUCUUUGUUUGGCCCAAAGAAAGGGAGAAAAGCAGCGGGGAGGAGACAUGGGAUUUUAGUUGGGACGCUCUGGGUCUCUGCCCAGAAGGGACCAGAAACAUGCAGGACUAGGGUCUGACACAGUACAAAGCGAUCCACUUGGGGCUUGUCUACACUGGAAAUGCUACCGAGUGGAGCUGCACCGGUGCAGCUCCGGCGCUUUAGUGAAGACGCUACGGCGCCGACGGGAGAGCUGCUACUGUCCCUGUGGCUAAUCCACCUCCGUGAGAGGCGGUAGCUAUGGCGACGGGAGAUGCUCUCCUGCCAACAGAGCAUGUCUACACCGGGGAUUAGGUCAAGUCGCUCAGGGGUGUGGAUUUUUACAGGUGUGCGUUACGUUGACCGCUGUCAGUCUGUAGCCUAGACCUGGCCUUAGGAAGGAACAAUCAAAUGCAGAACUGCAAGGUGCCUUGGGUCAGUGUAACCACGUUGCUCAAGGGGGUGGAUUUUUCGCACCCUUGAGAGACGUAACUGGGGACGACCCAAAUUGUAAGCAUAGACGAGGCCUAAGGGCACACGGCUACGCUACAGAUUUCCAGCAGCGCAGCUGUCCCGCUGUCGCGCUUCUGGUGAAGAUGCUCUAAGCCAAUGGCAGAGAGCUUGCCCGUCGGCUUAAUAACUCCACCUCCGCGAGAGGUGACAGCGAUGUCGGCGGGAGAGGCUCCCCACUGGCCUAGCGCUUUCUACAUCGGUGCUUAGCUCGGUAUAACACCCCUGAGCGACGUAAGUUAUCCCAAAGUAAUUUUGUAGCGUAGGCCACGCCUAACUCUGUUCCACUCCUGUCCUUCCUAAACCUCAGCAUUAGCUAGUGUAAAAUCCUCGCUUCCCACAGACGGAAUGUCAUUUUCUCCGGCGCCAGGCAAAUCACUGGACAUCAACUAUUGUAAAGUACUGGUUUCGUGAAGGUACAUCAACAGCAGAUGACCCAUCAGUGAGCAUCACAGAACAAAAGACUCUGUUCAUCGCUCUUCCUGCCCCCCCACCCCCACUCCUGCCAUGAGUUGGGGAUAUGCAGACCUAUUCCUCCUGUCGAGGGGUUGCAAGGAAAGAGGACUACCCCCCUCCCACACACACACAUACGCAGACACACACACACACACACACACACAACAAGAAGGACUAAGUUGUCUCUGUGUUCCUGGACUUAGCGAGGGCAAGAUUUCUAAGAAAAAGCACGGGAUCCCCAGCUAUACAGCCUGGGAUAGCCCUAAAAAACAUGUAAAGUUUAAUUACAAUAGAAACUCUAAUUACCUUUUGAAACUAAAGACUGUGACUCGUUUGUGUGUAUACAUUUACCUGCUUUAUAAAUAACUCCAUUUCCCUAUAUAAAUAACUCCCAUUUCUUUUCCUUAGUUAAUAAAUCUUUAGCUAGUUUAUUA